UGGCCUUGACAUAGAUAGAACUUUCCAGAGACGGAUUGGUGCUAGUUUACUAGAGCUAUCAUACAGGUGCUGCACGGCUGUCGUCAGCUCGUGUCGUGAGAUGUUGGGUUAAGUCCCGCAACGAGCGCAACCCUCGUGUUUAGUUACUAACAGUUCGGCUGAGGACUCUAGACAGACUGCCUGGGCAACCAGGAGGAAGGUGAGGACGACGUCAAGUCAUCAUGGCCCUUACGGCCAGGGCUACACACGUGCUACAAUGGGGUAUACAAAGAGCAGCAAUACCGCGAGGUGGAGCAAAUCUCAUAAAAUAUCUCCCAGUUCGGAUAGCAGUCUGCAACUCGACUGCUUGAAG
rnacentral:rRNA from 1 species